rnacentral:lncRNA from 1 species
GCGGGUCCUAGGGGCAAAGAAUCAGAUCGGGCCUGGUAUAGCCAAUACAGCACCGUUUUGGAGCCACUAAAACAGGCUCAAAACGGCACCGUUUUUGGUUUGUUAAAAAGACUGAAACCAGCCUCCUUCAGCCGAAUCAACCCUAGCCCCCUUUAUUCUCAACUAGCAAGCCUUGAACCCUUGAUUUUUAUACACCGAUCCACCACUAAGAAUGGCAGUCGGCGAUUUCGGGGCCACAAAGGGCUGGUUUUUGAGCCUUGAAAUCCCCUGUAGACUUCGAUUUCGACGAAGCAAAGGAGAUUGGACAGCUUAUUCGCAAGGUAUCAUCACCUUUCUCUUUUCUUUUUCAACGUAAACGAUGAAAAAAAAUGAAGGAAAUAAAUAAAAUAAUUAAUAGAAUAUUAAGAAGAUUUAAAACGAAAAUCGCCUUCUCAAAAAUUACCUUUGAAUUUUCUAUUCAAUAUCUAUAUAAAGUGUGCCUACAAAAAGAUCAAUACAUUCUUUUUUGGCUUUAUAGCCGAAAUCUAAAAGAAAAAUAAAAAUAAAAAUACAAUAUUUUCUUGCUUUUUGUUGUCCUUCUCUUGUUCGUUUGCAGGUAUUGAGUACUGGGCGUGUGCUGGUACUUGGCGUAAGGCGUACGGAGGCAUGCGUGGCGUUCGUACGGUGUUGAAGGCUGGGGCUUAGCUGCGGCGCAAGGGAAAGAAACCCUAGGGUUUUUGUUGUUUUAAUUUUUUGGGCCUGUUGGGCCGUAUAAUCUUGGGCUAGGGUUAGUAUUAAUUUUGGGUUUGUAAUGUUUUGGGUUUUGGGGUUAUAUAGUUUGGACUUUGAUGGACUAUUAAUUUGUUUUUAUUUUUAUGGAUUUUUGGUUUAAUAUUUGGUUUUAUUCUGGUUGUUGGGCCCUGGGCAGAUUUGGGCCUAUACAAAAAGUGUAACAAUGUGUAAAAGUGAAGAAUGAAUAAGUAAAUGUGUAACACCCCUAACCCGUAUCCGACGCCGAGAUAGGGUUCGAGGCGUUACCGAUGUAGAAGGCCUAUUUCGCCCGGGCUUUUAAACUUCUGUAAAAACCAAAAUAAAAAUAACAGUCCAAUAUAGAUUUUGAAGCCCAAGUUUUAAUGCCGGCCCAAAAUAUAGCUUUGGCCAAAAUUAAACAGGCUCAAUACAUUGACCCAAAAUUCCAGGCCUGAUUGUUAGCCCAAUUACAUUAAACAGUCAGCUAACCUAGGAAUCCCUAGGUUACCCACGCCGCAACCCCCACGUUUAGUGCCUCUCCACCACACAGUCGGCAUAUCAAGCACGACCCUUAGCUCGUUCGUUGCUCGCCCACGUCCUUUCACGUCUCCACGACCUGCGAUUUGAGCAAGAAAACAAUAGGAAAACUACUUGUAUUCGGCUAUAAAGCCUCCAAAUUUUUCAUUGUAAAGGGCUAUUUUUUGGACUUUUUUUUGAGAAAAAUUGAAGAUAGAGAUAAUAUUAAGCACAUACAGAAAGAUAUAGCAACCAUAUUUGUUUGAGGUGAUUUAAAUUUUCAUUUUUCUUUCAAUUUUAUUUCCAUUUUCUUUGAUUUUUUUAUCUACUGUAUAUAAGUAAUAAGAGAAAGGGGAGGCAGCUCACCGGAGUUACCGUAGGAGAACCUUCGCUAGUUGCGAACGGAGAGCUUGGGCAUUAGCCUUUCGGCUGAAGAGUAAAGGGAGAGUGAGGGAGAUGGAAAGCAUAAAGCAUUUAGGUUUUUUUAAACAAAAAAUAAAAGUCAGAAUGUUUAUUUGUUUUUUUUCAAAGUAAAAAUUUUUAAACAGGUUUUAAUAAAAUGGAACAGCAUUUUUGGGGGGACGGGAAGUUUGUACGCAUGUUUUGGCUAUGAGUGGGGGAUUUGCACAUUUAGUCCCCCACUUUUGUGCUAAUGUUCAUUUCGAUCAUUAAUUUUGCAUUAUUCUCAUUAUUAUUUCUUUUUUUUAUUCGUUGUAUUUUGCGAUUUAUUCGUUUUGAAUUUUCUUUCAUGUAUUCCUAGAUUAUCUAUAGAUGCUCAAUUCAAUACCAUUAUACAUGUAUAUACGUAACUUAUACUAAAUUAUUUUUACUCUAAGUAUACAUUAUUGAUUUCCUAUUAUUUUACGUAAAUAUUUCCUUUAAUUUUUUAUUUUUUUAUAUGUAUAUAUAUUAUUGAUUUUAUAUUAUUUUAUGUAUGUAUAUCUUCUUCUAAGGACCCUAUUUUAAAUGGUAUAUUUUAUUUAUUUUAAAUACUUUCAUAUACUAGUAUCUUUGUUUUUAUAUAUAAAAUUUUCAUUUCAUGUAUAUUAUUUAUUUAGAUUGACAAAUACUAUGUUAUAUGUUACUUACUUUUCUUUAUAUAUACAUUAUGUAUUUUGAAAUUUCAUUUAAAUAUUAUUAUGUCAUAUAUGAUUUUUAUUUUAUUAUUUUUUAUCUAUCUCGAACUUUCAUGUAUGCUACUUUAAGAUUUUUAUAUAUGUUUGUUUGUUUGCAUAUUGAUAAUUCCAAAUUGCAUUUCUUCUAUAUCAUUUAUUUGUUUGUUAGUUUUAAAACUUGCCACAUGUUGUCUGUGUUAAUUUGCUUGGAACUUCUUUAAAUUUGCUUUUAAUUCAUUAGCCUUCAAAUGUGAAUAUUGGUAUUUUUUAUAAUAUAUGGUAUGUCGUUUUUGCAUGUAUCCUAAUCCUUUGUAUUUUUUCAUUAUUUAUCCAUGUCAUAUUACUGCCUCAACUCUAAAGUGAACCGAAUGAAUAUACUUUGAGUCGGUUUUGCAAUUGUUUAUCUAAAAAAUUUCAAAACAAAGGUAAUGUUUGGCGUUUGGAAAUUUGGGAAAUCAUGCCCUAAUGUGCUGGGUUUCGAUUUUCUGCUUGCCCAAAAUAGUCAAAUAUUCCUUUAAAAUUUUAUUCAUGUUUUUAAAAUUUUAAAACAAGGCAAUGUUCAAUGUUUAGAAACUCGAGAAACCGUGCCGUAAUGUGCUGGGUUUCGUUUUUUUGUCGGACCAAAUGAUUGAAUACCCUUUUCGUGCAUUUUGGGCGUUAUGAGGGUGCUAACCCUUCCUCGUGCAUAACCGACUCCCGAACCCUUUUUUCUCAAUUUUCACAGACCUAAAAUUAUUAUUUUAAUAAAUCAAAUGUUUUAUUAAAAUGAUCAAUUCAAGGUGAUCCGAUUACACAUCGAAAAAGGUUGGUGGCGACUCCACAAUUCGUUUUUUAAAGUCGAUCCCCGUUUUUCCAAAAAAAAAUUAAAAUUAGUUUCAACAGCUUUGCGACUCCAUUGGGGACCAAUAAGAGAGUUAAGCUGUAAAGUUGAUUAUUUUCUGUCCUUUUGUCAGAAAUUAAAAUUUGAAUUUUAACAUACGAUGCUUUUAUUGCAUUUCAUGGGUUUUUAUGGUUUUUUUGUUCGUGUUUUGCAUUUUAAGUUUUUUUAUAUCCCCUCGCAUCAUCUUGCAUGACCGUUGUGGUCGCACCUCUUAAGUGGGAGUGAGAGACUAUGCCUUCGUGAGGUUUUCACCUUCGCAUGGCUAGUAGACUGCUUCCGGGAUACAUUCGUACCUAUGUCUUCGUGAGGUUUUCACAUCUGCAUGGGCAUAGGGAAAUGUAUUCCCCUGAAUUGAACUCGAUCCACAUGAGCCUAUAAUGGGUGAGGGUUGAGGAAUCUGCUGGUUCAAGUACCAUUUUCUUAUAAUCGAGCCACAUAUAGUGAACUCUAGGAGCCCGCCCUAAGUAGAGCUAUGUUGAAACUUAGCGAUUACCCAGUUAGGUGUUUGAUUAUUUUCUAUUUGCUUUGAUUUUUUAUUUUUUCGAUACUAACUUGUUGUGUUUUGUUGUGGUUAUAUUUGCAUGUCAUUUCAUAUUAAAGAGGUGUCGAUUUCUGUUCGGUUACUAAAUUAAAAAGCUGGUUAUGGAGAGCAAAUUCCCUGAUAAAGUGGAAGAUAAUGCGGCUGUCCGUAUGUGGUCAGAGAAGAUGCAACUUGAGAAAGGGGAUAGCUUGGCUGAGGGGUAUACAUUGAAAUUGGGGAACUUCACUCGUAUCAAUGUGACCCAAAAUGUGCUUCAAGAGUUGAGGGAUAUAUGGGCCAGCUGGGAUGAUAAGGCGAGGCAGUUGUUCUAUUAAAAUUAUGGCGACUUACCCUACUUGCUUGACGUCAAGGUGGACAAGUACUUGUUUCGGGCUAUGGCUCAGUUCUGGAACCCGGUAUAUAAUUGUUUCACCUUUGGGAAGGUAGACUUGAGGCCUAUUGUGGAGGAAUAUACAGCUUUGCUUCAUUGUCCAAAGGUUCAAGUUGACAAAGUUUAUUCCAACGCUGUUAGUGCCCCAGCUUUUGUAAAGAAAUUAAUAAGUAUCACCAGGAUGAGUGAACAUUGGGUUACAGCCCAAAUUCAGUAGAAAAGUGAUGGUAAAUGCAUUCCAUGGGUGAGUUUGAGGGACUUGAUAUAGCACAUUCGGACAUGAAGAAGAAAGCUGACACAUUCGCCUCGAGUAUCUAUGGUUUGGUGAUUUUCCCCAAAGCUUUAAGGCAUAUAGAUGAAGCAGUUGUCGAUUUCUUUGAUCGACUUGACAAAGGGGUCACACCGGUGCUGGCAAUUCUAGUUGAGACAUUCAGAUCUUUGAGUGCAUGUCGGAGGGCAAGUGAAGGAAGAUUCAUAGAGUGUAAGUAAUUGUUACUGGCUUGGUUCCACAGCCAUUUCUAAAAGGUGGAUAAGGUUUCUUAUCGGGUUUUCUCUGAGAGUUACUCCCCGUUAAAGGAAAUAACAGCCAUGUCCAGAAGAGAUGACAUAUCAGAAGAAAAUUAGAUCACGCUCCUCCGAAAUCUUCAGGAAAAGGACAUUGAGUGGAGAGCUUCUUAGUUUGUUCCUGAUGAGAUUCUUUAUUGGUAUGGAAGUUUUGACUGGGUACCCUUGCCUAGAAUUUAGGGAGCUAUUGGAUAUGCUCAUUUGCUCGUUUUAGGACAAUACAGGUCAAGGCAAUUUAUACCGAUGACACAUGGAUUAGCCUAGAGUGAGUUCUCGUAUAGGGAGAACAAUUAUAAGAAGAAAGUUCGAGAGAUUUUUGAUGCUUGGAAACAGAUGCGCCGGAUAAAGAGAUUGGUUACUGGAUCAAUGACGACUCCUGAAUACAAGGGGUGGUUGAGUAAAAGAGUUAAUGAUAAUAUCCUUGAGCCGAGUUUGGAGGAUGUUCGUGCGAUGGAAGAAUAUUUGCAAGUAAUCCCCUCCGAGCUUGAAAUUGUAAAACGAGACUUUGAAGAGAGAAAUGCGGAGUUAGGAAAAAAGAUAGAACAGUUGGAGAAAGAAAAUAUGCAUUUGAGUUUGGAUGUCAAUGUUCAGAAACUCGAGGCUAAAAGUUAAGGAAAGGGAAAAGAAGGGUUGAGGAAGACCUGGACAGUUUGAAAACUGAUUACAAGAAACUGCGUAUGUCGAUGAUAACUGUCGGAUUGUGGAAAACGUCAGAACAGCGGUGACAGGAAAUUCAAGAGGAAAAUGCUAGAACAGAUCAGUGAGAGAAGAGGUUCCAUGAUGCUCGAGCACAUGAAAAUUCUUUAAAAAAGAGCUUGGUUGAAGGCCAAGAUGAGAAAAAAAUGUUGGUAACUCGGGUAGCGGAUUUAGAGAAGGCACUGCAUCAGUAUCGUGGUCGUAACUCCGACAUUGAAUUAAGGGCUAGCCUGAACAGGAUCGAGGAUUUGAAAGGAAAAAUUGAAGAACUUGAGACUAUGCUACGGAACUGUGAGCUCCAAAUUGAAUUCCUUGAGUCGAACAAUGAGCAGUGGAAGGAAGAGUUCCGUCGAUCGCAAGACCAAGUCAGGGAAAGAGAUUAUAUCAUGGGUGAGGCAGUAGCUCAGAUACAAGAAGUGGCCGAUCAUUUACAGACCUUAGCGGUUCAGACUGAUGUGCUACGUGUGAAGUAUGAGUUAGAGUCGGACCGAGGUCGUGAGCUAGUUUGCCUUCCUAAGAAAGUUAAAACUUUGAGCAUUAGGGCUAAGCCGUAUAUAUGAUAUGUUUUAUGUAAAGGAUUUUGCUUUCUAAUAAAGUUUUUUAAAUGGAAUUGAAUCAGAAUCGACGUCUCUUUAGUUGUAGAUUCAUCUCAUGCAUUUGCAUUUUAUUGUAUCAUGUGCAUUAAAUUUCACAAAAAGAACCUUAAUUGAUUAAAAAUUGUAUUAUAGUUACCCUGAAACAUUAAUAUUACACACGAAAAAAGACCAAAGCUAUGGAUCAAAGGUUGGAAAAAUUUGAGCAAAUGCAGAAAGAAAUGUAGGAACAGAUGCAAGCGCAAAUGCAAGAGCAAUUAGCUAAGAUCCAGCAAGAUAUAAAAGAUCAAAUGCUGGAAUCUCAGAAGAGUAUGAUGAACGAAUCGACUCAACUAUUAGUUGGAAGGCUGGAAAAGGGGAAGAGUCCCAUGAUCAAUGCUGAGGAUGAUAGCAGGAUUCUUGCUUAAUCUUCGGGUUUCACCCUAACAAAUACUCCAAUACCUCCGCAAAGGGUGUCUGUCAGUAUCAAACCCCAAUAUCAGACUGGUACUUCGACACUGAUAAAUGUCUUGACGGGCUCGUGUUCUAACCCCGAAGACCAUCGGGAAAAUCCUACAGUCUCUGACUUCGAUGAGGUCACAGAAGUAAGAAAGGUAGGAGCAGAAUUUCCAAAACAGCUAGAAGACCGAUACAAGUGAUUGGAGGAGAAAUUCAAGGCGUUGGAAAGCGCUGAUUAUCAUUGCGAAAUGGAUGCUAAGGAAUUGAGCCUAGUCUCGAAUUUGGUACUCCCUCCGAAGUUCAAAAUACCGGAGUUUGAGAAAUACAAUGAAACCAGUUUCCCUGAGGCUCAUAUUACAAUGUUUUGUCGGAGGAUGACUGGACAUGUCAAUAAUGAUCAGUUAUUGAUUCACUGUAUCCAAGACAGUUUGUUUGGAGCUGCGGCCAAAUGGUACAAUCAAUUGAAUCGUAGCCAAGUUAAAUCGUGGAAAGACUUAGAACAGGCCUUCAUUAAGCAGUAUGGCCAUGUGAUAGAUAUAGCGCCUGACAGAAUCACGUUACAGAACAUAGAGAAAAAGUCAAAUGAAAGUUCCAGGCAAUACACUCAGAGAUGGAGGGAGGUUGCUGCACAAGUCCAACUACCAUUGUUGGAAAAAGAAACAAUCAUGCUUUUCAUUAAUACCUUGAAGGCACCUUUUUUUAAUCACAUACUGGGGAGUGCGACUAAGAGUUUCGCGGAUAUAGUGAUGUCCGGUGAAAUGAUAGAGAAUGCAAUAAGGUGUGGAAAGAUAGAGGUUGGGGAAAGUAUUAGGAGGUCGGCCCCAAAAAAGAGAGAAAAUGAAGUCAGUAAUGUAAGCAUAGGUUAUACGAAACCAAUUAUGGUAAACCAGCCGAAAACGGUAGCCACGGGCCAACAAGCUUCGUCAAGGCAAGAGCCCAAUACAAAGCAGAACACGGAGAAGCCCCAGUUUACUCUCAUUCCAAUAACAUAUCGAGAGCUGUACAAAAGUAUGUUCGAUGCACAUGUUGUAUCCCCGUUUUACUUAAGACCGUUGCAAUCCCCAUUCCCCAAGUGGUACGAUGCAAGUGCCCAAUGUGAAUAUCAUGCGGGAAUCGUGGAACACUCGAUAGAGAACUGCACCUCUUUUAAUAAGGUAGUCGAAAGACUCAUCAAAAUGGGUGUUGUGAAAUUUGAUGAUGCAAUUGGUAUAGGAAAUCCGUUACCCAACCAUACUGAUCAUGAGGUAAACGCGAUAGUCGAGAAUAUGGAGAGGAGAAUUAAGUUGGAUAUGGCAAAAGUGAAAACCCCGAUGAGGGAGGUUUUGAAGAAGAUGGUGGAGAGAAGUUUAAUCAUGCGAGAUUUUGGGAGCAAAUCCCGAGAAGCAAGGAACUAUUGUAAGUUUCAUGGAGAGGAGGACCAUGAGAUUGAAACAUGCAAUGAAUUCAGAGCCCUGGUGUAGGGUCUAAUGGAUAACAAAGAGCUAGAGUUCUUUGAAUUUGCUGAGAAGGAAGAUGUAUGCACCUCGGAGGAGGGGCUGAUAGAAAGGGUCUGUGAGGUCAACCACCAAGUGGUGAUCAUUUCACGACCGAGAAUCAAUGAAUCUGGAGCAAGAAUAGGGCCAAGAGUUUUGAUUCAGAAACCCGUGACUUUUCCUUAUAAGGAUAGGAAAAUGGUGUCUUGGAAUUAUAACUGUAAUGUGACAUCAUCAGGAGUGGGGAGUCUGGUCAGCAUGCCAUAUACGAAAGCUGAACCUGUAAAAGGGAAAUCUUUGAUGUUUGAAUAGGGGGAAGAGGGGACAAAACCACUGGUUAAUGAACCGGUAACUGAGGAUGAAGGUAAAAAAAUUUUGAAGUUCCUAAAACACAGCGAGUAUAGUGUUGUGGAACAGUUACACAAACAGCCAACACGCACAUCAGUAUUAGCUCUGCUCCAAAGUUCGAUGGUACAACGAAAUGCGUUGAUGAAGGUGUUGAACGAAACCUAUGUCGCUGAAGACAUUUCGGUGAACAAGCUAGAUCGUCUUGUCAGUAACAUAAGCGCUGAUAACUUUAUCUCAUUUAGUGAUGAUGAAAUACCACCAGGGGGUUUGGGAUCCACCAAGGCUUUACACAUUACCACUCGCUACAAAGGGUAUACAUUUCCGGGGGUAUUAAUUGAUAAUGGAUUAACGUUGAAUGUUUUGCCCUUGUCCACAUUGAAUAGGUUGCCAAUAGACAGCUCUCAUAUGAAGACAUGCCAGAAUAUAAUGAGGGCAUUUGAUGGCAUCGAGAGGAAAGUGAUAGGAAGGAUUGAGGUAUCUUUGCUAAUCAGACCAAACACAUACGAGGUAGAUUUUCUUGUGAUGGAUAUUACGCCUUCUUAUAAUUACUUGUUAGAGAGGCCUUGGAUUCAUUCGGCGAAGGCAAUACCGUCAUCGUUGCACCAAAAGCUAAAGUUGGUGACAGAGGGCUGGUUGAUAACGAUAAAUGCGGAGGAAGACAUUAUUGCAUCCGUUACCAGUAGUGCACUGUAUAUAGAAUAUAAUGAUGAAGCAGUUGAGUGUUCCUUUCGGUCAUUAGAAUUUGUCAAUGUAACUUUUAUCAUCGAAGGAAAGAGGAUCCCUAGGGCAAAAAUAUCCGAGGCAACGAGGAUGGGCUUGCAACUUACAGUUGGAAAAGGGGCGUUGCCUGGUAGAGGACUUGGGAAAUAUUUAUAUGGACGGGUUGAAGUGCCAAUUUUGGCUGACAAGCAAGAUCGUUUUGGUUUAAGGUAUAGGCCAGAUGCAAAGCAGAAAAGAAGGGAGAUGGAAAUGAAACAGGAGAGACGAAGAGCACGAUUGAGUGGGGCAGAGGUCAAGUGAGAAUCAAUAACUUUUCCCCAUAUUUCUAAUACAUUUGUGUCAGGAGGAAUUAUCUAUCCUGAGCCGAAGACAACAAGCGAAGGAAUGGCCGAAGAUUUGAUAGGAAGUCUGAAAAUCAACGUCAUAACUGAUGUGAAGGUGAUGGAAAGAAACUUGGCAAGUAUUCGCUCUUAUGAGCCUGGAAGUGUUCUGAACAACUGGACUGUGGAAGAAAUUCCUGUAGUUUUUAGAUCAAAUACAGAGUAAUGUUCAAAACACACUUUUUGUUUUAAAGCCUAUAAACGAAAAGAAUCUUUUGUGAAAUAGGCUCGUGUUCAAAACAUUUUUAUUUUAAUACAAAUACGCUUUUAUGUCUUAUUCUGAGUAAAUAUUCUUUUCUUGCAUUUGAUAUUUAAUCAUGCCAUACAAAUACGAUAUUCUUAUAUUCUUUUAUUUUUCUUAGCUAUCCAUUCAUGUCAAUAAUAGGUCUUUAGAUAUCAAUGACAUGAGUGACGUUGUUAUGGACUCAGAGUUCCCUUUUGAGUGAGACAUGUAUCUAGAAGGAUCUUAGGAUUUUGAAGACGAUGAAGACUGUAGCUUACCUCCUGAUUUGUUAAGGAUGGUAGAGUAGUAAGAGAAAUGGAUUCUACUCCAUAAAGAGACAAUCGAGAAUGUGACCUUGGAAGAAGGGAAAGAGGUGAACAUUGAAACUUGCAUAACUGAAGAAACAAGACGGGACCUCAUUGAUUUACUGUAAGAGUUCAAAUAUAUCUUCGCGUGGUCGUAUCAGGACAUGCCUAGGUUAAGCACUGAUAUUGCGGUGCAUCGCGUCUCCAUAAAAGAAGAAUGCAAGCCUGUUCAACAAAAGCUUCGAGGGAUGAGACCCGAUGUUGCAGUAAAAAUAAGAAAAGAGGUCCGGAAGUAAUUUGAUGCUGGGUUUUUGCAAGUUGUUAAUUAUUCAGAAUGGGUAGCCAAUGUUGUCCCCGUCCCUAACAAAGAUGGAAAAAUGAGGAUGUGUGUAGAUUAUAGGGACUUAAACAAGGCUAGCCCCAAGGACAACUACCUCCUACCUCAUAUCGACACUUUAGUGGACAACACAGCAGAUUAUUCACUGUUCUCCUUCAUGGAUGGUUUCUUUAGGUACAAUCAGAUAAAGAUGCAUCCUAAAAACAUGAAAAAGACCACAUUCAUAACCUUAUUGAGGACUUUUUGCUAUAGGGUGAUGUUAUUCGGGUUGAAGAAUGCGGGAGCAACGUAUCAAAGAGCCAUGGUAACCUUGCUUCACGACAUGAUGCACAUAAAAAUUGAGGUCUACGUCGAUGAUAUGAUCGCAAAAUCCCAAAUAGAAAAGGAGCAAAUACAGGUUUUGAGGAAAUUGUUCCUGAGGUUGAGGAAGUUUCAGCUAAAGCUCAAUCCAACAAAAUGUACUUUUGGAGCUAAGUCAGGGAAGCUGCUUGGUUUCAUAGUCAACGAAAAGGGAAUUGAGGUCGACCCCGACAAAGUCAAUGCUAUACAAAAAUUGCCUCCGCCGCGCACUCAGAAGGAAGUUUGAGGUUUUUCAGGAAGACUAAAUUACAUCGCCCGGUUUAUUUCGCAACUAACUGAGAAAUGUGACCUCAUAUUUCAUUUUCUCAAGAAACACAACCCAAGCGUGUGGGAUGAUGAGUGCUAGAGAACCUUUGACAAGGUUAAACAAUAUUUGUCCAACCCCCUAGUAUUAUUGAUAUUGUAUUUGACAGUAUUUGACAAUUCAAUGGAAUGUGUGCUCGGACAACACGAUGAAACAGGAAAGAAAGAAAAUGCGAUAUAUUACCUCAGUAAGAAAUUCACAGAGUGUGAGACGAGAUACUCGCCAAUUGAAAAACUAUGUUGUGCUUUGAUUUGGACUACUCGGAUAUUGAGACAGUACAUGUUAUACCAUACGACUUGGUCAAUCUCGAAACUGGACCCUCUAAAGUACAUGAUGGAGUCGACUACUUUAAGUGGAAGAAUGGCCCAAUGGCAAAUCCUGCUUUCUGAAUUCGACAUAGUUUAUGUGAAUCAGAAGGUUAUGAAAGGGAGUACAAUAGCAGACUUUCUAGCCAGUAGAGCUUUAGAAGAUUACAAGCCUUUGAAUUUUGAUUUCUCUAACGAAGAUCUAAUGUAUGUGGCAACUACUGUAGAAGACAUUCCAGAAGAUCAUUCUUGGAAACUUAAUUUUGACGGGCCGUCAAACGCUGUUGGCAAUGGAAUUGGGGCAGUCCUGAUAUCCCCAAAUAGAGAUCAUUAUCUAUUCACUUGUAAAUUGGAUUUUGAUUGCACGAAUAAUAUGGAAGAGUACGAAGCAUGUAUCAUGGGAACCUGUGCAGCCAUCGAGUGUAAAAUCAAAGUACUGGAGGUGUAUGGGAAUUUUACACUGGUGAUCUAUCAACUCAAAGGUGAAUGGAAAACAAGAGACCCAAAGUUGAUCAACUAUCGAGAGCUAAUUUUGGAUUUAAUUAGGGUGUUUGAUGAGAUCACUUUCUAUUAUCUUCCGCGGGAUGAAAACCAGAUUGCUGAUGCCUUGGCUACGUUAGCUUCAUUUAUCAGAGUAAAUAAACAGGAGGAUAUGAAGCCGAUUUAGAUGAGUAUUUGUGAGGCUCUAGCUCAUUGCUGCAAUAUCGACGAAGAAGAUGAGAGAAACGAUUGUCCUUGGUAUCAUGAUAUUCUAUGAUAUGUGAAGAAUUGUGAAUACCCUGAUCAGGCAACAGAAAAUGAUAAGAGAACAUUGAGGAGGCUGGCCAGUGAUUAUUUCAUAGACGGGGAGAUUUUGUAUAAAAGGAGGAAAGAUCAGGUACUGUUAAGAUGUGUUGACGCUAAUGAAGCUAAGAAAAUCUUGGAAGAAGUCCAUGAGGGUGUCUGCAGGACACAUGCCAAUGGAUUCACAAUGGCUAGGCAAAUCAUGAGGUUCGGGUAUUACUGGUCCACAAUGGAAGGAGAUUGCAUCAGUUACGCCAAGAAAUGUCAUAAGUGUCAAAUUUAUGGAGACAAGAUCCAUGCGCCUCCUUUACCUCUUCAUGUUAUGACUUCUCCCUGGCCUUUCUUAAUGUGGAGCAUGGACGUCAUUGGGUCAAUUUUGUCGAAGGCUUUUAACGGACAUCGAUUCAUCUUUGUGGUCAUCGAUUACUUUACCAAGUGGGUAGAGGCUGCUUCAUAUGCCAAUGUCACAAAGUCAGAAGUCAACAAGUUCUUGAAGAAGGAGAUCAUAUGUCGAUAUGGCAUGACAGAAAGGAUCAUAUCUGACAACGCGUUGAAUUUGAAUAACAGCAUGAUAGUUGAGGUCUAUAGGCAGUUCAAAAUUAAGCACCACAACUCGUCACCAUACCGCCCAAAAAUGAAUUGUGCGGUUGAGGCAGCAAAUAAGAAUAUCAAGAAAAUCAUGGGAAAAAUGACUGAGACUUACAAUGAUUGGUAUGAAAAAUUACCAUUUGCCCUUUAUGCUUAUCGAACAUCUGUCAGAACUUCUACCGGGGUAAUACCUUACUCAUUGGUUUAUGGGAUGGAGACAGUUUUGCCCAUUGAAGUUGAGAUUCCUUCUCUCCAGGUUUUAUCAGAGUUGAAGCUUGAUGAAGCCGAAUGGAUCCAGCCCGGUAUGAUCAGCUGAACUUGAUUGAAGAAAAGAGGUUGAACGCUAUCUGUCAUGGUCAAAUGUAUCAGAAGUGAAUGAUGCGCGCGUACAACAAAAAGGUUCGCCUCAGAGUAUUCUAUGAAGGAGACUUAAUAUUAAAAAUGAUCCUCCAUUUACAGAAAGAUUUUAGAGGGAAGUGGAUGCCAAACUGGGAAUGACCUUAUGUGGUAAAGAAAGCUUUUUCUGGAGGAGCACUGAUGUUAAUUGAGAUGGAUGGUAGGAGCCUGCCCAACCCAGUACAUUCGGACUCAGUCAAGAAGUACUUCGCUUAAAAGGUGAAAACUCGCAAAUGGCGCGAAAAAAAAGAAAAAAAAAAGGAAGAGACCGAGGUGAAAACCCGUAAAGGACGCCUUGAGACCAAAUGGGUUUUAAAUUGAAAACCCAAAAAGGGCAAUUCAAAUUUCGACCAAAGAUAGGGCAAGUGGUAGUCUUGCUAUGUUGGAACUAAUGAAGAGGAAGUACGCAUGUCUUGGGGCAUCGACAGAAUACGCUAGAUCUCUUAGGCACAUGGUAAGCUCAAAAUGGUCCUCGUGAAGUUCAUACGGAGGAGCUUAGGCUGCGAUAUCUAGGGCACUUAUUUUUGUUCCCCGUUAUCUAUUUUUUGUACUCUGGCAAUAUUUGCUUCAUUGAUUAAUCCAUUCUUCUUGAAUCUUGUUUCUAAUAAAUUUCAGUUUUGUCUAUCUUUAUUUUUAUGCUUAAGCGCUUGUAUUGAAACAACGAUUAAUGGACUAAUAAUACUUUUACAAAAAAGGUUUUGUAUAUUACUCUGGAAGUUUCUAAAUGGUACAAGAACCUGAAACAAGACUUUUGAUUAUAACUUACCCAACUUAGGGGUGGAAUAUUUGUGUCCAAAUUUGGAUUAUCUCUUCAAAUUUUCAGUCAAAAAUAUUGAUUGUAUAAGAAAACAAGAUAUUAUGACCAAAGCAUAAGAGGUGAUCAUGAUAUUCCUCAUUAAUGCAAAUGUUGGGCGUAUACAUCUGGUCAUAAUACUCGGAGAGUGGUGUAAUAGACCGAGUUGAUGAACGUUUCUAGGUGACAAUAGGGGUUUGAAGAUGGUACAAACCUUAUAGUGAAAGAGACUUUGAAACUAAAGUGGGGCAAGCCUAUUGAGCAAAAUGGGUUAUUUCUGUGGGUUUUCAUUGGAAAUACUAGUCGAGCAGGAAGGCAUAUGACAGUGAUAAAACUCUGAUGAAUAACGAGUGAUGACACUUUAAGAUUUAAAAAAAAAAGAAACAAUUCACAUAACAUUUCUGCAUUCAUAUAAUAACACAUCUAGUUAGGAGCAUUUGAUUCAUUUCGAUCAUAGCAUCCUAAUUAUUUGGCAUAAGCAUAGAUAUAUGAAACCAAUUUCACAGAUUAUGUUCCUCAGAGGAUAGUACAGUGGCAUCGGUAAUGACAGCAAGUCUUAUCCCCCUAAGCAGUAGGGUAACAAGCUAAAUUCACAGAUUUUAUCUCCAUGUAUCGACUAUGGAGCAAAUCGAAAAAGGCGAAUCUUAUCUCCAUGUAUCGGCUAUGGAGUAAAUUUCAGCCACCAGCCUUAUUUCUCUGAGGUAGCAAGAGAGCAGGUUGAAGAUACAAGUCUUAUCUUCCUGAGGUAGCAAGGAAGCAGACUGGAAAUUACAGGUCUUAUCUCCAUGUACCGACAUGAAGCAGAUUGAAAAUGGCGAAUCUUAUCUCCAUGUAUCGGCUAUAGAGCAGAUUUCAGCUACCAGCCUUAUCUCUCUGAGGUAGCAAGGGAGCAGGUUGAAGAUACAAGUCUUAUAUUCCUAAGGUAGUAAAGAAGCAGACUGAAAAUUACAGGUCUUGUCUCCAUGUAUCGGCUAUGGAGGAGAUCAAAAAUGGCGAAUCUUAUCUUUAUGUAUCGGCUAUGGAGCAGAUUUUAGCCACCAGCCUUAUCUCUCUGAGGUAGCGAGAGAGCAGGUUGAAGAUACAAGUCUUAUCUUCCUGAGGUAGCAAGGAAGCAGACUGAAAAUUACAGGUCUUAUCUCCAUGUAUCGGCUAUGGAGCAGAUCGAAAAUGGCGAAUCUUUUCUUCAUGUAUCGGUUAUGGAGUAGAUUUCAGCCACCAGCCACCAGCCUUAUCUCUCUGAGGUAGCAAGAGAGCAGGUUCUUAUCUUCCCGAGGUAGCAGGGAAGCAGACUGAAAAUUACAGGUCUUAUCUUCAUGUAUCGGCUAUGGAGCAGAUUUUAGCCACCAGCCUUAUCUCUCUGAGGUAACAAGAGAGCAGGUUGAAGAUACAAGCAUUAUCUUCCUGAGGUAGCAAGGAAGUAGACUAAAAAUUACAGAUCUUAUCUCCAUGUAUCGGUUAUGGAGCAGAUUGAAGAUGGAGAGUCUUAUCUCCAUGUAUUGGCUAUGGAGCAGAUCUUAGCCACCGAUAUUAUCUCUUUGAAAUUGCAGUGGAGCAGGUUAAAGUCACAAACCUUACCUUCCUGAAGUUGGUGCAAGGCUACUUGAAGAAGAGGUGCACCAAAGAAGUUGAGAUUCAGCAAGACCGGGCAAAAUUGGUCCUUUUAAAGUCUUUGCCCAUUCUCGUUACACGACAAUGAGCAAAGAGGGGCAGCUGUAGAAGGCCUAUUUCGCCCGGGCUUUUAAACUUCUGUAAAAACCAAAAUAAAAAUAACAGUCCAAUAUAGAUUUUGAAGCCCAAGUUUUAAUGCCGGCCCAAAAUAUAGCUUUGGCCAAAAUUAAACAGGCUCAAUACAUUGACCCAAAAUUCCAGGCCUGAUUGUUAGCCCAAUUACAUUAAACAGUCAGCUAACCUAGGAAUCCCUAGGUUACCCACGCCGCAACCCCCACGUUUAGUGCCUCUCCACCACACAGUCGGCAUAUCAAGCACGACCCUUAGCUCGUUCGUUGCUCGCCCACGUCCUUUCACGUCUCCACGACC